UACGUAGGGGGCUAGCGUUGUCCGGAAUCAUUGGGCGUAAAGCGCGUGUAGGCGGUCCGGUAAGUCCGCUGUGAAAACUCGAGCUCAACCUCGAGACGCCGGUGGAAACCAUCAGACUAGAGUCCGGAAGAGGAGAGUGGAAUUCCUGGUGUAGCGGUGAAAUGCGCAGAUAUCAGGAAGAACACCCGUGGCUAAGGCGGCUCUCUAGUACGGUACUGACGCUGAGACGCGAAAGCGUGGGGAGCGAACAGG
rnacentral:rRNA from 1 species